GAUUUCAACUAAAAAGUCAUCAACAACAAAGUUGUAUAACUCAUCAAAAUCUAUAACUUUUAUUUUGGUCAUUUCUUCAUCCGAUAAAGUGAUAGUAACAUUGUUCACAAAAUUCAUAUAUCUCUCAUCUGGUUUAUAAAUCAUAACACAGAUAUGUAAAAUUUGUGAAUAAUAUUACUAACACUUUAUCGGAUGAAUAAAUGACAAGCAUAAAAGUUAUAGAUCUUGGUGAGUUAUAUAACUUUGUUGUUGAUGACUUUUUUUAGUUGAAAUC
rnacentral:pre_miRNA from 3 species